rnacentral:rRNA from 1 species
GACCUCGGAUCAGACGUGAAUACCCGCUGAA